GUCAAAAGGGAAACAGCCCAGACCCACAGCUAAGGUCCCUAAUGUGCGCUAAGUGGAAAACGAUGUGGAGUUGCGAAAACAACCAGGAUGUUGGCUUAGAAGCAGCCACUCAUUAAAAGAGUGCGUAAUAGCUCACUGGUCGAGUGACUCUGCGCGGAAAAUAUAACGGGGCUAAGCACACAACCGAAGCUUGGGAUUGUCAAAAGACAGUGGUAGGGGAGCGUCGAAUACGGGGUGAAGUCGUAUCGGAAGGAACGGUGGACUGUAUUCGAGUGAGAAUGCCGGAAUGAGUAGCGAGAAUUAUGUGGGAAUCAUAAUGGCCGAAAAUCUAAGGUUUCUUGGGGAAGGUUCGUCCGCCCAAGGUAAGUCGGGAGCUAAGGCGAGGCCGAGAGGCGUAGUCGAUGCACAUACGGUAGAAAUUCCGUAACCACCGAAACUUAAGUUAGAGGGACACUUCGAGAUAGCGGAACCGCGGCGUUGGUAGACCGCGGCGAAAGGGACUGAAAUAUAGUAGGGAAGUCCGCGAUGCUCGGAGGCGAGAAAAGCUCUAAGGAAUGCUAAGGUGCCCGUACCGCAAACCGACACAGGUAGAUGAGGAGAGAAUCCUAAGGCCAACGGGAGAAGGGUUGUCAAGGAACUCGGCAAGUUGACCCCGUAACUUCGGAAGAAGGGGAGCCUCGAAAGAGGCCGCAGUGAAUAGGCCCAAGCAACUGUUUACCAAAAACACAGGUCUAUGCUAAAUCGAAAGAUGACGUAUAUGGGCUGACGCCUGCCCGGUGCCGGAAGGUUAAGAGGAGAUGUCAGGCAACGAAGCAUCGAAUUGAAGCCCCGGUAAACGGCGGCCGUAACUAUAACGGUCCUAAGGUAGCGAAAUUCCUUGUCAGGUAAGUUCUGACCCGCACGAAUGGCGUAAUGAUCUGGGCACUGUCUCGACAGCCCACCCGGCGAAAUUGUAGUACUGGUGAAGAUGCCAGUUACCCGCAACUAGACGGAAAGACCCCAUGGAGCUUUACUGCAGCUUAAUACUGGAAAUCGGUAAUUCAUGUACAGGAUAGGUGGGAGACGGAGAAGCAUGGUCGUCAGGCCAUGUGGAGUUGCCCUUGGGAUCCCACUCUUCGAUGCCUGCUUUUCCAACCUGCGGCCGUGACCCUGGUCGGGGGACCCUGUUAGGCGGGCAUGCUGCUCGGGG
rnacentral:rRNA from 1 species